AAAAAACGUUAAAAAAACAGCCGGAGCCUAACCUCUGCUUGGAGAGUAACUCAACUACAAACUGUUUACUCCACCAGGCUUGUCCCAUGGGAUACGUCGUGCUGUCGGAUCCAUAGCCUGCAUCAUCGGUCCACUGUGGGGAGGGGCCACAGUUUACAUGCCAAAUGUGCUUUUUGGUGUCCUGAUCGCUUUGCAGGGACUUGUCAUGGUUCUGACCCUUCUGUCAUUUCGACAUUUGAAAGUUCCUCAUCAACAGCAGGACACAUCUGACCAUGUGCCUUCACUGAUGGUGAAUGCUGAAGCAGAUGAACAAACUCCUUUACUGAAAGAUGCACAUCCAUCUCAAGAGGUGGCACAGAAAGUUUAACUUUAACAGCCAACCUAUUAUGUAAUCAAGAUAUCAGAAUAACUAUUAUUCCAUACUGUCCAAUUGUGCAAUUGUGCAUCCACGUCAAGAGGUGUCACAGAAAGUUUAACUUUAACAGCUAACCUAUUAUAUAAUCAAGAUAUCAGAGUAACUAUUAUUCCAUACUGUCCAAUUGUGCAAUUGUGCAUCCAUCUCAAGAGGUGUCACAGAAAGUUUAACUUUAACAGUCAACCUAUUAUAUAAUCAAGAUAUCAGAAUAACUAUUAUUCCAUACUGUUCAAUUGUGCAAUUUAUUCACAGAAUUCAUACAACUGCGUGACCCCUUAAAAGUUUUAAAAGUUUAUUUCUAAGGGGGCCAGCAUACAUGAUAAGAUGUGGGACAAAAGUGGACAACAAUCAGUAGAAUAUAUAAACUCUGAUGUGAUAGAUGUUGAUAUC